UACGUAGGUGGCAAGCGUUGUCCGGAAUUAUUGGGCGUAAAGCGCGCGCAGGCGGUCCUUUAAGUCUGAUGUGAAAGCCCUCGGCUCAACCGAGGAGGGUCAUUGGAAACUGGAGGACUUGAGUGCAGAAGAGGAAAGUGGAAUUCCAAGUGUAGCGGUGAAAUGCGUAGAGAUCCGGAGGAACACCAGCGGCGAAGGCGGCAUCCUGGACUGGUCCUGACGCUCAGGAGCGAAAGCGUGGGGAGCGAUCCGG
rnacentral:rRNA from 1 species